rnacentral:lncRNA from 1 species
ACCUUUGAAAUAAUAUAAAUGAAUCAUCUACUGAACUGAUGGUUAUACAUCAUACAAAUUAUAGAUCAGAUUAUCCAUAACACCAGAGGAAAAAUCCAAUAAUAUGGCAUCAAAUAACACCAUCCGCUAAAUUAGUUACAUUUUUUACUAACCCAAACAGUAGGCAGAACAUUAUUUCUGAAUUUAAACAUAUUUACAUCCUAUUCAUUAGGAUCUGGAAAUGAACAGAGGAAAUAUACAACAUGAGAUGUAGUCGAGCGGAAGAAACCUGUCUUUGCAUACCUGAGGUUGUUUGCCCAAUCGAAGAACUGCAGUUGAUGUGGAUCCUCCAUGAGAAUAGUAACAAGCAGAGUGCGAAUGCCUAAAAUUUAUACCUUAUCAACACUAAAACAGGAGAAUCAGUAUGGUGUUAAUAGAUGACACUUUCCAGUAGAUAAUCAGGAAAAGGGAGGUGCCAAAUUUUGGAAUUACCAACCCACAAACUCAAAUUAGACAAAAAAACACUAAAUUACCGGAGCUAGGCAUCAAAGACAUACCUUGACCCAAGCACAACAAUCAACAUGCACUUGCGGAGA